UUGGGUUAAGUCCGUAACGAGCGCAACCCUUGUCCUUAGUUACCAGCACGUUGUGGUGGGCACUCUAAGGAGACUGCCGGUGCAAACCGGAGGAAGUGGGGAUGACGUCAAGUCAUCAUGGCCCUUACGGCCUGGGCUACACACGUGCUACAAUGGUCGGUACAAAGGGUUGCCAAGCCGCGAGGUGGAGCUAAUCCCAUAAAACCGAAUCGUAGUCCGGAUCGCAGUCUGCAACUCGACUGCGUGAAGUCGGAAUCGCUAGUAAUCGUGAAUCAGAAUGUCACGGUGAAUACGUUCCCGGGCCUU
rnacentral:rRNA from 1 species